rnacentral:rRNA from 1 species
UAACUUUAGAUUAAAUAGGAAUACCUACUAAAUUUAAAUAUAUUAAUAAGUAGAAGAAAAAAAACUAAUAAGGAUUACUUUAGUAAUAAUAAGUAAAGUAGUAAUAGUUUAAAUUUAAAAUCUAGCUUCUAAGGUUUAAGUUAGAAUUUAUAGAAGAUAUUUUAAGUAUAAUACCUUCUAAGUUCUUUAAAAUAAGAUACUAUAGAAAGUAAAAGCCCUAUAUAAUUAGAUAUUAAGUUUAUAUAAAGUUUUUUUAAUAAAUUAAAUAGUUUAAAAAUACUACUUAAAAUAAGAAGUAUAUUUCUUCUAAAACUAAAUACUAACUAGAGAUUAAUAAUAUAUAAGUAGAAUAAUUAAAAAAUAAAAAGUAUUUUAAGAAAAAAAUUAAAUAGUAUAUAAAGUCAUUAAAAAAGAAGUAUUUAUAAUUAGACUUAUACUUAGUAGAUUACCUAGCUUUUAUAGCUAGAAUACUCCACUAGCUCAAGCUAGUAUUAACUUACUAUUAAGAAUAAAACCUUUAGGAAUAUAGCUCUUUCUAAAAAAUAUUAUAACUUAUUAUAUAAUACCUUUUAGUAGACUAAAGUAUACGUUUUAUAAAAAUACUAGUAUAAUAGUUAUUAGCAACCUAUCUUAAAACAUAAACUAAAGAGUUAACUUUAUAUAUAAAUAUUUAAAUAUCAAACUUUUAUAUAUAAUAAAAGUAAAUAUAGGUAAGAGUUUUAACAUAUUAUUAACUAAUCUUAAUAUUCUUAAAUAGAUUUAAAUAAGAAUAUAUAGAGUUAGACUUAAAAGAAAGUAAAUUAUGUAUAUAUAGAGUGAAACUAGAAGAAACUCUAGUAGAGGCUUAUAAUAGUUCUAAUAUAUAAAUUAAUUAUCAAAUAUAUAUAUAGAAGCAAAAGACUAAUUAAACCUUUUAAUAAUUAGUUUCUACUAAAGCUUCGUUUAAAAUAGUAAUAUUAAACUUAGUUUUAUAAAAUAAAGUGAAUAAUUAGGGAUUUAGAAGUACUAUAUUACUUUUAUCUAUUCUUAAACUUUAAAUAUAUAAAAAGCUUUUAUUAUUUAGUUAAAUAUAGGUAUUUAAAUAUAUUAAUACUAAUAGGCUAUUUUUAAUAAGUAGAAUUAGUAAUAUAAGAUAAACUAAAUAUAAACUUAAAGUAUUAGAAUAGAUACUUAUUAAAUAUUAUAAAAAGUAUUAGUAUAUCUUAAUAGUAGGAUAAUAGCUAUAGAAGUUGGAAUCUACUAAAAACUAUAUAAUAACUUACCUACUAAAUAUAUUAGCUUUAAAAAUAGAUAAUACUUAAGUAUCUUACUUAUACCUCACUUUUAGUAUAAAAAUAAUAUACUAUCAAAUAAGUAGAUAUAGAAAUUAGUAAUAAAGCUUAAAGUAUAAACUUAGGUAGAAUAGCUUUUAGUAUAAAUCUUAGUAAUAAUAAUAAAUACUUCAAUAAGAACUUAAAAGAUUAAAAUAAAGAAAAAUUCUAUAUAAAUAAUAGUUAAAUAUAAAUUAGUUAAUCUUAAGCUAUAAAAAAAUUCUAUUUUAAAAAAAUAUUUAUACUUUAUAUAAUAAAAAAAAACUAGUUAAUAUUCUAAUAUCUAGAUAUAGGUUUUAUAUAGUAAUAUAACUAAAUAUAGAGAUAAUAGUAGGGGCUUUAGGUAGAAUUCUCUUUUCUUCUUAAUAGUCUAUUAUUCUAAAAUUAAUUUAUCUAAAGCUAAAAUUUAAUAACUAGAAAAACUUAGUACUUCUAUUAAAUCUAAUAUAUUUUUAAUAUCUUUUAAAAAUCUAUAGGAAGGAAUAAUUCUUAUAUUAAAUUAUACUUAUAAUUAUAAUAAAUCUUUAAAAUAAAUAGUUUCUAGUUAAUAGAAUAAUAUAUAUAAAAGAAGUUAGUAAAAUAGAUCUAUAAUUUUAGAAUAAAGAUUAGUUCUAAAAGUUAAAUAUAUUAAAUUUUAAAUAGAUAGCUUAGGAAUAAGUUAUUACUAGCUAGGUAAUUAGUUAGAAGUUUCUAAUAUCUAAAUUCUAAUAUUUUCAGUAAGUUUUAGCUAUUUAGUAUAUAAUUAAUAACUAAUUUAAAACUAGUAUAAAUAAGGGGAAUCUAACUAUUUAAUUAAAAUAUAGUAUUAUAAUAACUAGAAAGUAGUAUUAAUAUAAUAUAAUUUCUAUUUAAUAUUCUAAAUAUUAAAGUAAAAUAAUUUAAUUAAGUAUAAGUAAAUAGUAGGAAUAAUUAUGAUUAAACCGAGAGGGUUAUUAAAAUAAUAUUAAAAAAAGCAACUACUAAUAAAGUUUUAUACUUUAUAAUACUAUUAAAUUAUAAGGACUUCUUAAAGCCUUCUAUUAUUACGACUAAUUAGAAAUAAUUAGUAUAAUAUUUAGGUUAAUAGUUUAAGGGAUAGUAAUAAUAUAGUUAGUAUAGGAUAACUAUAUAGCUAAGCUUUAUAUUUCUCUUAUAAGAAAUAGAAGUAUAGUUUAAUAACUAAAUAGUAGUAGGUUUAGGAGGUAUUAUAGUAUAUAUUUAAAUUUAAAAUAUAAUCUAUAAUAAGUUAAAAAACUAAUACUAAUAUAUAAGUUUUUAAAAUAACUAAAUACCUUAUUAUCUAAUUAGUAAUAUAUAUAAAUAGAUUAAUAAGAUUCCUAUUAUUCCUAUUUAUUAUUUAGUAAAACUAUAGUUAAAAGAAUAAAUUUAAUAGAAUUAGUAGGGAAAGAAGACCUUAUUAAGCUUAAUUCUAGUUUAAUAUUAUAAAAAAAUAUAGGAGGUAUAGAAUAAGUAGGAGCUUUAGCAUUAGUAAAAUACUACUACUCCUAUUAUUUUUUUAUUUAUUUAAUAAAAUAAGGCUAGAUUUAUAUCUAACUUCUAGUUUUAAAGUUUUUUAUAAGCUGAUUUAAGUUAAAAAUAUUAUUAGAUAAAAGUUUUAACUAAAAUAGUAUAUCUAUUAAACUAUAAUAUAAAUAUCCUAAAAAAAGCUUAUAGAGAAUAGAAAUCUCUAGUAGAAUAAAAAAGUAAAGAUCCUCUUAAUUUUAAUUUUUAGUAUAAAUAUAAACUAUAAAAGUAUAACCUAUCAAUCUUUUAAUCCCUUAAAAUUUAAAACUAGAGGUAUUAGAAAAGUUACUAUAAGGAUUAAUAAUUAGUCUUAAGUAUUAUAAUAGAAAGUAAUAUUUAGUCUAAUACCUUCUAUAUAAUAUUAGAAAGUAUUCACUAUUUCUAAUAAUUUAAUAUAACUUCUAACUAAAGCUAUAAGUAAAAUAUUUAGAUAUAGGGAAGCUUUAAUAGGUUAGUAGUAAUAAGCUUUAGAAUAAUACCCUAUAAUAAAAUCUUUUCUAAAAUAGCUAAUAAUCUACUAAAUAGAAAUAAUCUAUAAUUAAUCUAAUUAUAACUAAAUAGUUUAAUACUUAGUAAAAUAUUAAUAAAAAGGUAACUUCUUACUUAAAGUAUAAAUUAUACCUACUUAAGAAAGUAUUAUAUCUACUAACUAUAUUAACUAUAAAAUAUAGAAUAAACUAUAUUAUAAUAACUUAUAAGUAUUAUAAAACUAACUUAUAAUAACUAAGUAUUUAUAAUAAUAUUACUUUUUAAUCUUUUAAUAUUAGCUCUUCCUAUUAUACUAAAGUAGAAUUCAAUAAGUAUUAGAUUAUUUACCUAUUAAUAAGGAAUAUAAGCUAAAUUUAAACUAUUAUAAGAUAGAUUAAUGUUAUCCUAUUAAUAACCUUAUUAUAAUAAUAAUUAAACUUAAUAUAAGAAGAACUACUUAUUUAGAUAAUUAGUUUUUAUAACUAUCUAACUAAGUAGUAUUAUAAUACUACUAUUUAUUAAAUAAUAGCUAAAUACUUCUAAAUUAAAAUCUAUAUUAGAAUAUAAUAAUACUUCUUAUAUAUAUAGAUAGAUAUAAAUAGGUUUUAACUUAGUAUCUUAAUAAAUAAUUACUCUACUACUUUUAAAGUAAGUAGUAGUAUUUCGCAAAUUAUAGUUUUAAUAUAAAUAGAGUUAAAUCUUUUAUAAAUAACUUAGAUAUAUAAAAAAAUCUUAUAAGUAGUAAAAUAACCUUAUUAUUAUAAUCUAUUAAAAAUAAACCUUUUUUUACUUUAAUUUCC